rnacentral:rRNA from 1 species
CCAAUAGCGUAUAUUAAAGUUGUUGCAGUUAAAAAGCUCGUAGUUGAACUUCAGGCCUGUCCAGACGGUCCGCCUUAAUUGGUGUGUACUGUCCUUGGGUGGGUCCUACCUUCUGGCGAAGCGGCAUGGCCUUAAUUGGUUGUGUCGGGGAACCAGGACUUUUACUGUGAAAAAAUUAGUGUGUUCAAAGCAGGCAAAUAUGCUCGAAUACAUUAGCAUGGAAUAAUGGAAUAGGACGAUGGUUCUAUUUUGUUGGUUCUAGGACCGUUGUAAUGAUUAAUAGGGAUAGUUGGGGGCAUUAGUAUUCAAUUGUCAGAGGUGAAAUUCUUGGAUUUAUUGAAGACUAACUACUGCGAAAGCAUUUGCCAAGGAUGUUUUCAUUAAUCAAGAACGAAAGUUAGGGGAUCGAAGACGAUCAGAUACCGUCGUAGUCUUAACCAUAAACUAUGCCGACUAGGAAUCGGGCGAUGUUGACAAAAUGACUCGCUCGGCACCUCAUG